rnacentral:rRNA from 1 species
UAUUGGACAAUGGGGGGAACCCUGAUCCAGCGACGCCGCGUGAGUGAAGAAGUAUCUCGGUAUGUAAAGCUCUAUCAGCAGGGAAGAAGAAAUGACGGUACCUGAGUAAGAAGCCCCGGCUAACUACGUGCCAGCCGCCGCGGUAAUACGUAGGGGGCAAGCGUUAUCCGGAUUUACUGGGUGUAAAGGGGGCGCAGACGGCAGCGCAAGCCAGGAGUGAAAGCCCGGGGCCCAACCCCGGGACUGCUCUUGGAACUGCGCGGCUGGAGUGCAGGAGGGGCAGGCGGAAUUCCUGGUGUAGCGGUGAAAUGCGUAGAUAUCAGGAGGAACACCAGUGGCGAAGGCGGCUCACUGGACUGUAACUGACGUUGAGGCUCGAAAGCGUGGGGAGCAAACAGG